UGCUGAAGAAAGUGAAUGUGAUGACCUAAAGUAUGAUUCUGAUGUCAGCUAAUUCUGAGGCUUUCUAUGGGCUGCAAUAAUGAAACAAUAGCAUUGUGAAUUCUUUUUUUGGAGGGUGAGCGUAAUACGCAUGCGCAAAUUUAUUGCGCAAUAGAAUCACGUGGUAACAUGUCCAUGCAGCUCAGAGUCACGGGGACUUGGGCAGAGAAGGUAGUCUCGCGUACGCGAGACUAAAGAGAAGGUGGACAAAAUCCUAGUCUCGCCCCUCAUCCACACAGUCCACACUUCUUUGAAAUUUUGGCAUAUUUAAGUGGCUAAUUUUGUUCGUUAAUACCUCAGCAGCGUGUCACAGGCGUCCUAGCUCCUAAUGACACAGAAGUACUUGAAAGAGCCAAACCAACCACAGAACAAAGGAGGACUGUCCUCAUGGUAGAGACAUUCAAGCUAGAGACAUCAAAGUUCAUUGAUGAAGCAUAACGAAACAAAGAAACAUAGAAUGGUAACAGUCCUGAUGGAAUGGCAAGAAUGAGUGAAGCAUCCAUGUCCAACUGAGAUUAUGAAGAAUGGAUUUGAUGACAAGUGUGAAUAAAUUGAUAAGGAAGAAGGUACUUUAGAUAUUAAUAGACCUGUAAUAACUGUAACUGUUGUAUACACGUGCUUCUGGGAAUUUGUGUACGGCUAAAUGUUUCCAAAGAGUCUUGCCCUAUACGCGGAAAUUUUUGAUGGGAUAAAUUUUUGCAAGUGGGGAUGUGCAGAAGUUUGCAAGGCCAAUUUUUUGUGAAAUGCUUUCAGUGCUACCAUUUUUGUAAUAAUUUUAAGAGUAAAAAAAUUAAUUAUAUGUGUAUACCCAUGUGCUAAGAUGAAUUUUUGCUUAUCUUAAUUUUGCGAGUGACUCCUUAUGUUGCAAAAUUUGGGAAAAUUUAUGUACUUGAUGAUUUUGUAAUGUGUACAAUGUAUUCUUUUUGAAUUUUGAGGUAAUACAUUUUUGCUAGAGUAGAUAUUUAUUUAGGCAAGUAUAUGUAUCUAACUGCCCUAUAGUAUGUGUAGCUAAAACACCAGCACUGU